rnacentral:rRNA from 1 species
AUGGACACUAGGUGUGGGGGACGUGCCCUCCGUGCCGCAGCUAACGCAUUAAGUGUCCCGCCUGGGAGUACGGCCGCAAGGCUAAACUCAAAAGGAAUUGACGGGGGCCCGCACAAGCAGCGGAGCAUGUGGCUUAAUUCGAAGCAACGCGAAGAACCUUACCAGGGCUUGACAUCUAGGUGAAGCGGUGGAAACGCCGUGGCCGAGAGGAGCCUAGACAGGUGGUGCAUGGCUGUCGUCAGCUCGUGUCGUGAGAUGUUGGGUUAAGUCCCGCAACGAGCGCAACCCUCGUCGCAUGUUGCCAGCGGUUCGGCCGGGCACCCAUGCGAGACCGCCGGCGUCAAGCCGGAGGAAGGUGGGGAUGACGUCAAGUCAUCAUGCCCCGUAUGUCCUGGGCUGCACACGUGCUACAAUGGCCGGCACAAUGGGCUGCCACUGCGCGAGCAGGAGCGAAUCCCCAAAGCCGGUCCCAGUUCGGAUUGGAGGCUGCAACCCGCCUCCAUGAAGUCGGAGUUGCUAGUAAUCGCGGAUCAGCACGCCGCGGUGAAUAAGUUCCCGGGCCUUGUACACACCGCCCGUCACACCACCCGAGUCGAUUGCACCCGAAGUCGUCGGCCCAACCCUUUUGGGAGGGAGGCGCCGAAGGUGUGGCUGGUAAGGGGGGUGAAGUCGUAACAA